rnacentral:tRNA from 1 species
GGCGACCUGGUGCAAUGGUAGCAUCCCACCCUCAUAAGGUGAAGAUUUCAGUUCGAAUCUGGAGGUCGCAA